GGUGGCUCAGUGGUAGAGUGCUUGCCUUGCAUGCAGAAGGUCCUGGGUUCAAUUCCUCAGCACCA
rnacentral:tRNA from 1 species